rnacentral:rRNA from 1 species
AACGAACGCUGGCGGCAGGCCUAACACAUGCAAGUCGAACGCUCCGCAAGGGGCGUGGCGCACGGGUGAGUAACACGUGGGAACAUGCCCUUGGGUACGGAAUAACGGCGGGAAACUGCCGAUAAUACCGUAUGAUGUCUUCGGACCAAAGAUUUAUCGCCCAAGGAUUGGCCCGCGUCUGAUUAGCUAGUUGGUGGGGUAAUGGCCUACCAAGGCUACGAUCAGUAGCUGGUCUGAGAGGACGACCAGCCACACUGGGACUGAGACACGGCCCAGACUCCUACGGGAGGCAGCAGUGGGGAAUAUUGGACAAUGGGGGAAACCCUGAUCCAGCCAUGCCGCGUGAGUGCUAAGGCCUUCGGGUUGUAAAACUCUUUCGCGAGGGAAGAUAACGACGGUACCUCGAGAAGAAGCUCCGGCUAACUUCGUGCCAGCAGCCGCCGUAA